UGCCAGCAGCCGCGGUAAUACAUAGGGGUCAGGCGUUGUCCGGAUUUAUUGGGCGUAAAGAGCUCGUAGGCGGUUCAGUAAGUCGGGUGUGAAAACUUGAGGCUCAACCUCAAGAGGCCACUCGAUACUGCUGUGACUUGAGUCCGGUAGAGGAGUGUGGAAUUCCUGGUGUAGCGGUGAAAUGCGCAGAUAUCAGGAGGAACACCGACGGCGAAGGCAGCACUCUGGGCCGGUACUGACGCUGAGGAGCGAAAGCGUGGGGAGCAAACAGGAUGAGAUA
rnacentral:rRNA from 1 species